CAGUAGCCGCGGGAAUACGGAGGGUGCAAGCGUUAAUCGGAAUUACUGGGCGUAAAGCGCACGCAGGCGGUUUGUUAAGUCAGAUGUGAAAUCCCCGAGCUUAACUUGGGAACUGCAUUUGAAACUGGCAAGCUAGAGUCUUGUAGAGGGGGGUAGAAUUCCAGGUGUAGCGGUGAAAUGCGUAGAGAUCUGGAGGAAUACCGAUGGCGAAGGCAGCCAUCUGGCCUAAUACUGACGCUGAGGUACGAAAGCAUGGGGAGCAAACAGGAUUAGAGACCCCGGUAGUCCCUGUCUCUUAUAA
rnacentral:rRNA from 1 species